rnacentral:lncRNA from 1 species
GUCACUCGGUGUUCUCACCGAAAGCACGUAAUCGCCGGUGUAACUCAUGUUGGCUGGGGGGCCUCCCGGCGCGCGGCAAGGCUGGGGUGCGCCCCC